rnacentral:lncRNA from 1 species
CACAAUGACCCAAGCUCCUGUUUGUUGAUUGUGAUGAAAUGCAUGCUGAGGCACAUGCCUUGGGAGCUAAGUGGCAGCUAUACUUCACUACUAUGGCAGUAAAGAUGACUAUAAAGACUGGCGGGGGAUGGAUCCUUUCAAAUGUACCUGAGCUGGGAUGCCCAGCUUGUGGAACGCACAGCAGGAGGUGAGCAGUGGCCAAAGGAACAUCUGAAGGAACACCUGAUGAGGCUGCACCCUUGGCGGAAAGAACACCUGACAUGGCUGAAAGCUUGGUGGAAAAACCACCUGAUGAGGCUGCACCCUUGGUGGAGGGAACAGCUGACAAAAUUCAAUGUUUGGGGAAAGCAACAUCUGGAAAGUUUGAACAGUCAGCAGAAGAAACACCUAAGAAAAUUAUGAGGACUGCAAAAGAAACAUCUAAGAAAUUUGCAUGGCCAGCAAAAGAAAGACCUAGGAAGAUCACAUGGGAGGAAAAAUAAACAUCUGUAAAGACUGAAUGCGUGGCAGGAGUAAUACCUAAUAAAACUGAAGUUUUGGAAAAAGGAACAUCUAAGAUGCUCACGUGUCCUACAAAAGAAACAUCUACAAAAGCAAGUACAAAUGAUAAGAUGCCCACAUCAGAGUCAGGACAAAAAGAAGAUACGAAAUCACCUUCAGUUUCUGAGGUCACAGCUAUGGAUGUGGAAGAGAUAGGAAAGGCCUCACCACUUAAGAUAGAAGCAGCAGCUGCAUAGUGGUAACAGCAAUGAGUGGAUGUCAAAAGACAGAUUCAACUAGCCUAUCAAUAUUCUUGGGUGCAGUUCCUUCUCAUGAAAGAGCAAGGGAACUUAAAAAAUAUCACUGUGAACAACUUACAGCAAAAAUAAAACAAAUGAAAAAUAAGUUUUGGGUACUACAAAAGGAACUAUCAGAAGCAAAAAUAAAAUUGCAGUAAGUGAAUCAAAAGGUUAAAUGGGAACAAGAGCUCUGCAGUGUGAGCUUGGAAUGAAGUUGAUAAUAGUGAGACCUUGUUGGUACAAGACUAUGUAACACAACCUGCACUUCUCAACAAAAAAUUGCUUUUCUGACUUCUGCACUCAAUAGCAAGACAAAUCUCUCCUCUGCCUCCUCAUCAGACUACUCAAUGUGAAGGCAAUAAGAAUGAAAACCUUUAUGUAUAAUAAUUCACUUCCA